rnacentral:rRNA from 1 species
CGUGUAGGCGGCUAUGCAAGUCGGAUGUGAAAGCCCUGGGCUUAACCUAGGAAGUGCACUCGAAACUGCAUAGCUCGAGUCCCGGAGAGGAUGGUGGAAUUCUCGGUGUAGAGGUGAAAUUCGUAGAUAUCGAGAGGAACACCGGUGGCGAAGGCGGCCAUCUGGACGGGUACUGACGCUGAGACGCGAAAGCGUGGGUAGCAAACA